CCCCCCCCCCCCCCAGCAGAUCCCUUCAUCUCCCAUUUUCACCUCAGAAUCAAAGCCCUCCCCAGCCGGGGCCCUCCCAAUAACCUUCCCUCUAGCUCCGAUUCGGCACACGCGACCCCUGAAAUAAAACAUCGGGUGGGACCCGGGUUUGAGAUGAUCGUCGGAAAACCACCGUUGCCGUAAAUCCGGUUUACUUUUUAAACGGGGGACUGGGCUGAAAAAUUCAUGGGCCGCUUGCUUCCUCGGCCCACUGAUAGACGCAUUAAAGAGGGGGAUCCAUUUUUUUUUUUUAUGCUAGUGAAUUCUCCUUGCGGGAAGUACAUUCCUCUUUAAUUAACAGUCAUUAGACCGUAUCUUAUUAUCACCUGGCAGUCCGUUUUAGAGGUGCAAGCUCGAGCUGGUGAUGAUCGGAGCCAAUAAGCGGCACCUGAAGCCGGACGAGCCGAUUCCUCGUGGUCGCUGACUCCAUUGUGACCAAGAGUUCCAAAUGCCUCUUACAUUUGCCAUCUGACGAUCCAGAUAUUGGCACAGAGGGCAUGGCGCGGGGAUGCCAGGCUCUACGGUCUUUCACUCGGUCUCGGCCCGGCCCCACACAGACUUGUUCCCCGUGAACCAGGAACAUGAUCCCCAAAGAGGCGGAGAGAGGAGCAUGCAAAGGAAGAGUGAGAAAGGCACUUACCGAUUGAAAUGCACCAUUCCGAGCUGACGCUCACGGUUCUAACGGGCAAUGGCACAAAACCAGUUUGCGGCAUCCAUCCCAGUACUCAUCCAGCAAAGUAUUACCAAGUAAAAUAAGAUCUGCCAGGGGCAACCAUCGAUCCGCCCCUCUACCGGAGUUCUCAAGCUAAGAAAUGCCAGGGAACUACAGCACCACUCUCCUCCUCAGCUGAAAGCUCAGAGAUUCCCAGACACGGCUUAUAAAAGAAACGCCUUCAGCUCGAGAAAAAGAGACCCAAAACAUUAAACAUCGAAUUAAUUUUAGAAAGACUGCUGGUCCUUUCUUUCCCCCUCCCCGGAGCAGUGACGGUUCUCUCUGGGAGCCUCUUCAGAGACCCGAGGCUUGGGAUGCAAAGGAUUUAUUCAGAAUAGUCCAGCGGGAGGGGGGCAGAUAGGGGAGGUGAGCGGGGGAACUAAAAUUUUCAGCAGCCUAAUUACCAAGGAUGAUGGUCAGAGCCUUAUUUCCAUCGCCCGGGUGACACAGUGUCUCUCAAAAUGGAUCGGUGGUGAACUGGAAAAAUUAAAUCGAAUGCCUGAUUAGGGAUAUAAAUAGCUUCUUCCCUGCACAUUUCACAAGACACGGUGACGCUAGGGAGACACAACAUUUUCAAAGCUCUUCUCCGUGAGCCUGUAUAAACGUGCAGUGUUUCGGUCCAACUCUCAAUCAUUUCCAGAUAAUGCGCUUGUCUCGGGGCGUCUCGGUAUAUUUGGUACCUCACCAGCAAACCGUACGGGGCUUUUAAGUCGACGGUCAAGGGCUCGCUGUGGACAGACAAGCCUCCGGCAGACGAAUCCGCAAAGUCUAUUUACCGAGUAAGCUCUGACACCAGUCAAAACUCCCCCAGACGAAUAGUUGCCUGCUCUCUUCAGGGAACGGUGCUAUAAAAAAAGCGAUCGCGGAAUGGCCCGAGAUUGCUCCAUUUAAAACUAUAACACCCUGAGACAUUUCAACUUCUA